rnacentral:rRNA from 1 species
GAGUCGUCGUUGAAAUACCACUCUGGUCGUGCUGGAUGUCUAACCUGGGUCCGUGAUCCGGAUCAGGGACAGUGUCUGAUGGGUAGUUUAACUGGGGCGGUUGCCUCCUAAAGAGUAACGGAGGCGCCCAAAGGUUCCCUCAGCCUGGUUGGCAAUCAGGUGUUGAGUGUAAGUGCACAAGGGAGCUUGACUGUGAGACCGACGGGUCGAGCAGGGACGAAAGUCGGGACUAGUGAUCCGGCAGUGGCUUGUGGAAGCGCUGUCGCUCAACGGAUAAAAGGUACCCCGGGGAUAACAGGCUGAUCUUCCCCAAGAGUCCAUAUCGACGGGAUGGUUUGGCACCUCGAUGUCGGCUCGUCGCAUCCUGGGGCUGGAGUCGGUCCCAAGGGUUGGGCUGUUCGCCCAUUAAAGCGGUACGCGAGCUGGGUUUAGAACGUCGUGAGACAGUUCGGUCCCUAUCCGCUGCGCGCGUAGGAAUAUUGAGAAGGGCUGUCCCUAGUACGAGAGGACCGGGACGGACGAACCUCUGGUGUGCCAGUUGUUCUGCCAAGGGCAUGGCUGGUUGGCUACGUUCGGAAAGGAUAACCGCUGAAAGCAUCUAAGCGGGAAGCCUGCUUCGAGAUGAGUAUUCCCACCCCCCUUGAGGGGUUAAGGCUCCCAGUAGACGACUGGGUUGAUAGGCCAGAUGUGGAAGCCCGGUAACGGGUGGAGCUGACUGGUACUAAUAGGCCGAGGGCUUGUCCUCAGUUG